GACGAACGCUGGCGGCGUGCUUAACACAUGCAAGUCGAACGAUGAAGCGGGUGCUUGCCCUCGUGGACUAGUGGCGAACGGGCGAGUAACACGUGAGUAACCUGUCCUUUUCUUUGGGAUAACGGCUGGAAACGGCUGCUAAUACUGGAUAUUAAGGCUGCAUCGCAUGGGUUGGUUUGGAAAGGAUGUUUCUGGGGUUGGGUGGGGUAGUGGCCUAUCCGCUUGUUGGUGGGGUUAUGGCUUACCAAGGCGUUGACGGGUAGCCGGGCUGAGCGGGUGCACGGUAGCUGUGGGACGGAGCUACGGCCCAGACUACGACGCGGGGGAGAAUUGUGGAAUAUGGGAGAAUGGAUGACAGAUUGAUGCAGCGACGGUGCUGGGAGUGUUUAGGCCUUCGGGUUGUGAACUCCGGGUACAAGCGAAAAAGGCACAGCUUUGGCUGUGUUGAUGGUAGUGGGGGAAGAAGCGCCGGCUAACUACGUG
rnacentral:rRNA from 1 species